GCCCAAAUGUCCUGACGUGGUUCCAAAUACCAAUCCCACACUUCUUGACCAUUGUCCUGUGGACAAUAACUUGGAAUAAAUGUGAAACUGAAGUCUGAGUGCCCAUCAGAGAGUGUCCCAAUCCAACCAGUCUAUAAGAAGAUCUGGGGUGACAUGUCUGAGAGUAAAGCCAAAAAGAUAGAAAUCAAGGACGUGGAUGGGCAGACGCUGAGUAAGCUGAUUGACUACAUCUAUACUGCUGAAAUCGAGGUGACCGAAGAGAAUGUCCAGGUGCUGCUCCCGGCAGCCAGCUUGCUGCAGCUCAUGGAUGUUCGGCAGAACUGCUGUGACUUCCUGCAGUCUCAGUUGCAUCCCACCAAUUGCCUGGGCAUCCGUGCGUUUGCAGAUGUGCACACCUGCACUGACCUUCUGCAGCAGGCCAAUGCCUACGCAGAGCAGCACUUUCCAGAGGUGAUGCUAGGAGAAGAAUUUCUUAGCCUGAGUCUGGACCAGGUGUGCAGCUUGAUAUCCAGCGACAAGCUGACCGUUUCUUCAGAAGAGAAGACACAAAGUUCAGCUCUGGCCAUGAACAUCCUCAGUGACCCAGUGACCCAGGGGCAGAAUAAACAACCUUCUGGGACAAAUCCACUCUAAGGAAAGAGAUAUGAC
rnacentral:sRNA from 1 species